GAUGAAGAACGUAGCGAAAUGCGAUAAGUAAUGUGAAUUGCAGAAUUCAGUGAAUCAUCGAAUCUUUGAACGCACAUUGCGCCCGCCAGUAUUCUGGCGGGCAUGCCUGUCCGAGCGUCAUUUCAACCCUCAGGGCCCGUCCGCGGGACCUGGCGUUGGGGAUCGGCCGCCCACCGCGGCGGCCGGCCCCGAAAGACAGUGGCGGCUCCCCGCGAACUCCUCUGCGUAGUAGACAUACGACCGCAGCUGGCUGGCGGGGCGGCCACGCCGUAAAACCCCACACUUCUUAAGGUUGACCUCGGAUCAGGUAGGAAUACCCGCUGAACUUAAGCAUAUCAAUAAGCGGAGGA
rnacentral:misc_RNA from 1 species